AUGUACCACGCGUCCACUGCGGUUGUGAGCGCGCCGUCCGCGCCCACCUGACAACUGCUCGCGACGUAUUAUUAACC
rnacentral:sRNA from 1 species